rnacentral:rRNA from 1 species
UACAGAGGUCCCAAGCGUUGUUCGGAUUCACUGGGCGUAAAGGGUGCGUAGGUGGUGAGGUAAGUCGGAUGUGAAAGCUCCGAGCUCAACUCGGAAAUGGCAUUGGAAACUACCUUGCUCGAGGGUUUGAGGGGGGACUGGAAUACUUGGUGUAGCAGUGAAAUGCGUAGAUAUCAAGUAGAACACCAGUGGCGAAGGCGAGUCCCUGGAAAACUCCUGACACUGAGGCACGAAAGCUAGGGGAGCAAACGGG